AUGCAGUCGAGGGGCAGCGGGGACUUCGGUCCGCCGGCGACCGGCAAACGGGUGCGGAACACGUACACAACCUUCCUUCGAGCGGGGGAUAGCCCAGAGAAAUUUGGAUUAAUACCCCAUGGUAAAAUGAAGAGGCAUCUUUUUAUUUUUAAAGAUUUAUCACUUGAAGACGGGUGUGCGUAUGAUUAGGUAGUUGGUGGGGUAAAGGCUCACCAAGCCAACGAUCAUUAACUGGUGUGAGAGCACGACCAGUCACACGGGCACUGAGACACGGGCCCGACUCCUACGGGAGGCAGCAGUAAGGAAUAUUGGUCAAUGGAGGGAACUCUGAACCAGCCAUGCCGCGUGGAGGAUGAAGGUCCUCUGGAUUGUAAACUUCUUUUAUAUGGGGCGAAAAAGGGUCUUUUUAGAUCAACUGACGGUACCAUAUGAAUAAGCACCGGCUAACUCCGUGCCAGCAGCCGCGGUAAUACGGAGGGUGCAAGCGUUAUCCGGAUUCACUGGGUUUAAAGGGAGCGUAGGUGGGUUGGUAAGUCAGAGGUGAAAUCUCCGAGCUUAACUCGGAAACUGCCUUUGAUACUAUCAGUCUUGAAUAUUGUUGAGGUUAGCGGAAUAUGUCAUGUAGCGGUGAAAUGCAUAGAUAUGACAUAGAACACCAAUUGCGAAGGCAGCUGGCUAAACAUAUAUUGACACUGAUGCU
rnacentral:rRNA from 1 species